UACGAAGGGGGCUAGCGUUGCUCGGAUUGACUGGGCGUAGAGGGCGCGUAGGCGGUUCGUACAGUCAGACGUGAAAUUCCUGGGCUCAACCUGGGGGCUGCGUUUGAUACGUGCGGACUUGAGUGCGGAAGAGGGUCGUGGAAUUCCCAGUGUAGAGGUGAAAUUCGUAGAUAUUGGGAAGAACACCGGUGGCGAAGGCGGCGACCUGGUCCGAUACUGACGCUGAGGCGCGAAAGCGUGGGGAGCAAACAGG
rnacentral:rRNA from 1 species